UGGUAUCGGGCCAGUGGCUUUGAGAGUACAGCAACACUGUUCAGUGUGUCGUAUUGUGUGAGCAGUGCGUCGCGCGUGGUGUGUGAGUGGUGCGUGCCUGCUGCGUCAUGGCGUUCCAGUGCAGAGCCGCGGACCGCCCCCACAGGGGGAGUACCUCGUUCGGCAGCUCCAGCGUCAGCGUGAGCACCACAGGCAGCGGUGAGGCAGAGGGGGAAGCGGAGGCAGAGGCGGAGGUGGACGCAGAGGCAGGAGCGGCUGACGUCACUGGCCCCGACCAGGUCAUCGCGGGGGCGCAGGAGGCGGCCGCAUCACAGGACGCCGACAGCGCAGG